GCCAACACUCUGUGGAGUGUGUUUCUCUCUAAAUAAAUCCACUUCUUUUUUUUUUUUAAUAUUUUUCUUAUUUAUUUACUUAUUUAUUUUUAGCUGUGUUGGUCUUCGUUGCUGCACACAGGCUCUCUCCAGUUGCAGCAAGCGGGGGCUACUCUUCGUUGCUGUGCGCAGGCUUCUCAUUGCAGUAGCUUCUCUUGUUGUGGAGCAUGGGCUCUAGGCACGAGGGCUUCAGUAGUUGUGGCACGCGGGCUCAGUAGUUGUGGCUCACAGGCUCUAGAUUGCAGGCUCAGUAGUUGUGGUGCACGGGCUUAGUUGCUCCACGGCAUGUGGGAUCUUCCCAGACCAGGGCUCGAACCCGUGUCCCUUGCAUUGGAAGGCAGACUCUUAACAACUGUGCCACCACAGAAGUCCAAUAAAUCCACUUCUUACCUAUAACUUUGUCUCUCACUGAAUUCAUUCUGCAAUGAGACAUCAAGAACCUGAGCUUCAUUGAGUCCUGAGACCAGGUGGUGUCUAUUAUGAAUAUGGAUGCUAUUAACAUUCAUCUACAAGUCUUGGUGUGGACAUUGUUUUAUUUCUCUGGGGUAGAGAAGUGGAAUUGCAAGGUCCUAUGGUGCCAAAACCCUUGGGAUUUCCUGAGCAAUAACUGGAAGCAACUUUUGUCAUAAUAUUUGGUGUCCUGUCCUCAGUUCCUGAAACUGCUUCAGACCAUGAAGGUGAAAUGGGUGUCUUGUUACUCAUAACAAGACCUUUUCCACCACAACUGGGUUUAUGUUAACGUGGUUAUUACCUGAAAACUGGGAUCGCCUCUUGGUGGGUGUCAAGCCAAAAGACACAACUGUAAGUAGAUAGGGUAGGGGGUCCCUGGAAAAAGAGAACCAGGCAUGGCUUACUUGACAUAAGAGAAGCCGUUUUUUGGCCUAAGCCAUUUCGUGGUCUAAGCUUGACCACAAUGCUCGCCCUUGAGCAGGUCUCAGUAAUUAAUGACCUUAAGGGAAUGAAAGAAUGCAGAAACAAAACUGUUACCAGGCAAGAGAAGUAACAAAAUAUAUCUCAGUUUUGUUCCAAAGGUAAAGAUUAGCCUGAAGUGCUCAACCAGCAGAUCAACUGGAACCUAAGUGAUGACGACGUUGACAUUUUCUGACCCUCAUGACUUCAGUCAACUAAAGCUUGGUCUCUGUGGACCUGUGCCCCAAUUCUAAGCUGAAUUCUCCUCUCUCAAGCCUCUUCAUGAAUAUGCGUGUACGCUUAGCUUAAAACUUCCCCAGUUUUGCUGUUGGGGAGACAUGGCUUUG